UUCUGCUCAAUGCCACAGAAUUGUUUGUCAGUUGUUUGACCUUAACCAGUUGAGCAUGUCCAUGAAUGGCUGGCGAUAUGUGCAUCUCCGAUCACGAGCAGAGGUAGUGGAGGAGCAUCGUAGUCAUAAGUUAAAAGGAAUUCUUUGGUCAUUUAUAUAAUUC